rnacentral:rRNA from 1 species
CCUACGGGAGGCAGCAGUGGGGAAUAUUGGACAAUGGGCGAAAGCCUGAUCCAGCCAUGCCGCGUGUGUGAAGAAGGCCUUCGGGUUGUAAAGCACUUUCAGUGGGGAAGAAAGCCUUGGGGCUAAUACCCUCGAGGAAGGACAUCACCCACAGAAGAAGCACCGGCUAACUCCGUGCCAGCAGCCGCGGUAAUACGGAGGGUGCGAGCGUUAAUCGGAAUUACUGGGCGUAAAGCGCGCGUAGGCGGUCUGAUAAGCCGGUUGUGAAAGCCCCGGGCUCAACCUGGGAACGGCAGCCGGAACUGUCAGGCUAGAGUGCAGGAGAGGAAGGUAGAAUUCCCGGUGUAGCGGUGAAAUGCGUAGAGAUCGGGAGGAAUACCAGUGGCGAAGGCGGCCUUCUGGACUGACACUGACGCUGAGGUGCGAAAGCGUGGGUAGCAAACAGGAUUAGAUACCCUGGUAGUC